rnacentral:rRNA from 1 species
UAGGGAAUCUUCCGCAAUGGACGCAAGUCUGACGGAGCAACGCCGCGUGAGUGAAGAAGGAUUUCGGUUCGUAAAACUCUGUUGUUAGAGAAGAACAGCGCAUAGAGUAACUGUUAUGCGUGUGACGGUAUCUAACCAGAAAGCCACGGCUAACUACGUGCCAGCAGCCGCGGUAAUACGUAGGUGGCAAGCGUUGUCCGGAUUUAUUGGGCGUAAAGCGAGCGCAGGCGGUCAAUUAAGUCUGAUGUGAAAGCCCCCGACUCAACCGGGGAGGGUCAUUGGAAACUGGUUGACUUGAGUGCAGAAGAGGAGAGUGGAAUUCCAUGUGUAGCGGUGAAAUGCGUAGAUAUAUGGAGGAACACCAGUGGCGAAGGCGACUCUCUGGUCUGUAACUGACGCUGAGGUUCGAAAGCGUGGGUAGCAAACAGG